UUGCAAACCUACUUGUAAUUAAAUGAAUGCUACGUAUGCUUGAUAUACCCUUUUUUUUUUUUUUUUUCUUCCUUUUUUCAGGACUGUAGUUAUUUCCAUUCCUCCCAUGUCUCCUCCUCUCUUCCUCAAUAAGCAGCUAUGGGGCAUAAUAUAAAUUGAGAUGUACAAUUCAACCUUUGCAACCUUGCAAAAACUUCCAAAAUUGGAUCUGGUGAAUGGUCUUGUAGAACUAAAAUCAGAGGCAUUUCAAUUGGCCAAAAAGCACCUCCAUACUAAAGUUUCAAGUUGGAGAAACCAACCCUUAAAAUCAUGUCCC
rnacentral:lncRNA from 1 species